UCAUCAGGUCUAACUUAUCACUUGACACUCUCCUCCUCUCUCUCUCCUCGACAACUCUUUCUCACUCCACUUUGGCCUUCUCUCUUAAUCAUCUCCUGCCUGCUGGUUAAUCUGGUAAUGAGUAAUUGAGUAUCGAUGCUUCAAGAAAACUAGUGGCUAUGGAACAGCAUAUUCAUGGUUUACGUCCGUUAUAUGAAGUUCAUCUACCUUUUUUAAGGAAAGCGGCAGUCUGUGAGUUUUGCAUUACUUCUUGAACUUUCUACUAUAUACUCUAUAUGCAUUACUGGAUAAUGAUCUAUUAUAGGCUACAGUGUGCUAGUUGAGCUUCCACAACGUUAAUUUACCCUAAUUACGUGUUUGUAACCAAAUACGCAUAUAGCCAUAUACACAUACAUAUUGGGUGAUGUUUUUUUGUAGUUGUAAA